rnacentral:rRNA from 1 species
CUGGGCUAGAAUGCCUCUGACAACCCUAGAGAUAGGGCUUCCUAGGGAAACCUAGGCAGAGUGCAAGGUGCUGCAUGGCUGUCGUCAGCUCGUGUCGUGAGAUGUUGGGUUAAGUCCCGCAACGAGCGCAACCCUUAUCGAUAGUUGCUAGCGGUUCGGCCGAGCACUCUAGGUAGACUGCCGGCGUUAAGCCGGAGGAAGGUGGGGACGACGUCAAGUCAUCAUGGCCCUUAUGUCCAGGGCCACACACGUGCUACAAUGGACGGUACAAAGGGUCGCAAACCCGUGAGGGGGAGCCAAUCCCAAAAAGCCGUUCUCAGUUCGGAUUGGAGUCUGCAACUCGACUCCAUGAAGUUGGAAUCGCUAGUAAUCGCGGAUCAGCACGCCGCGGUGAAUACGUUCCC